GAUGAACGCUGGCGGCGUGCCUAAUACAUGCAAGUCGAGCGAACAGACGAGAGUGCUUGCACUCUCUGACGUUAGCGGCGGACGGGUGAGUAACACGUGGGUAACCUACCUAUAAGACUGGGAUAACUUCGGGAAACCGGAGCUAAUACCGGAUAAUAUUUAGCUUCGCAUGAAGCAAUAGUGAAAGACGGUUCUGCUGUCACUUAUAGAUGGACCCGCGGUGUAUUAGCUAGUUGGUGAGGUAACGGCUCACCAAGGCAACGAUACAUAGCCGACCUGAGAGGGUGAUCGGCCACACUGGGACUGAGACACGGCCCAGACUCCUACGGGAGGCAGCAGUAGGGAAUCUUCCGCAAUGGACGAAAGUCUGACGGAGCAAUGCCGCGUGAGUGAAGAAGGCUUUCGGAUCGUAAAACUCUGUUGUAAGGGAAGAACGAGUACGUUAGUAACUGAACGUACCUUGACGGUACCUUACCAGAAAGCCACGGCUAACUACGUG
rnacentral:rRNA from 1 species